UUCAGUCAAGCACAAAAUAAAAGAGGACAUCAAACCGCAGCCACUCGACCAAAGACGUUGUGUCGAACUGGCAUCAAACAAUUCCUCCCCCAGGAGAGUUCCUGCUAUAAAUAGUGGUAAUUCACUGUAUCCAGAACCAUCCGGAUCUGUUUACACUCCGCCAUCAAACUCGGGUACGAGUCGAGGUCACGGCCAAACAGACUGGAGAAGUGGAAACAAUGUGCAAGACAACGGACCCAGCUACGUAUCAACAUCUCUUUCCAGGAAUAACUCUUUCAGUAGUACUUCAUCAUAUAGAGAACAGUCAGGAUCAUCGUACCCUCCUUCGACAAAUCAAAGUACGACGAGUCGAGGUCAUGGACAG